rnacentral:lncRNA from 1 species
CUCAAUAUUUUAAAAUAAAGAUACAGGAAUCAUUAUACAAACUAACAAAUCAGAAAACAAAAAAAAAACAUGACAUAUGGUGAGUAAAGAAAAAGAUCAUUAUAUCUAGAGUGAAAAGGGAAUCCAGAAAGAACACCCAAAAGCACAUAGUUCAAAACUUUAAUAGCGUUUUUAAUGUUAUGGAGCUGCUCCUCCUUUCAAAGUUACGAUUAGCUCCUUCAUAUAAAUAGUAGCCACACUCAGUAUUUGUCAUUUGUAGAGUUCCAUUUUAAUUCUUCAUACUCACAUGGUAAAUCCAAUCUCUAUAUAUUCUAACUUACCAAGAAGCAGGAUCAUCAAUUAUCCUUUAUUGAAAUAUAUACAGAAAAUAAGCACACAGAAAUAUAUUGUCACGCUCUGGGGUCCCAUUUUGGUUAAAAAUCAAAGCGGAAGUGCCCAAAAUUUUUUUUUUGAAAAUCUGACCCCUAACCAGAUCCGCCACAAGUACAGGAAGUCCACUGUUCACACGGAUAAAGCCUCUCCUAUAUUUGCACGGCAUCGCACAAGUACAAGAUAUAUAAACAGGACACAACCACCACAACUGAAUAUACAAACAUUCAUACACCAUUCACAAUAGAUCUACAUUCAGAGUUUAAUCAUAAAUCCACAACAUUUAGUUUAAAAUGUUUCCUAUUCGAAAACUUGUUUUGAAAUACUAAGUCAUGAAAACCACGAGAAAACCAUUUUAAAACCGUUUCCCGCACGGAAACACAUUUCUUUUUAAACACGCUACCACGAGGGGUAGAAAACCAUUUUCAGUUUACAAAAUCAGAAAUCCUUUAUUGCAUUAAUAAAAUCUCAAAUAUUCAAAUGUAAUAAAAUACUGAACCAUAAUAGUUGUCUAAGUCAU